GCUGCGGGAGGCCACUGGUGCUCAAGCACCUCGGAUUCCCGCUCAUACAGCCGGCCGGAUCAUGUGGCAGUCAGGUGGCGACCACUAUCUAGCCCAACGUUGCUGGAGUUGUUGCAGCUCUGCCGGGCCCACAUAUCAGCGUUCGUGCAUGACGGUGAGUUGCCACCCAUGGCAUCUCUGGACCAGUUGCAGGCCAGAUUUGGGAACAGCCCGCCUGGCUCCCUGUCCUCCCUGAGGCUGAUGCAGGCAGACAGCCUCCUGUGGAUGGGUCACAAAAUGACUGUGCAGCAGCCGAAGGCCCCUGGAACCCAGACAGAUGUGCUACUGGCUGACCUUCAGCACUGCAGGUCCCUGUCCAGCAGCCGUCGGCUCACCAGGGCCCUUGGGCUCCACAGGCAGCAGAAGGGCUACCCCUGGGGAGGCCCAGGCCCAGGGCUUCCCCCGCCCCCUGAACUACACCCAUGGCUGCCACUUCAGCUGAUCUGCGGUGACAUGCCCACCACCACCUCAGACCUCUACAGCUUCUGCAUCCUGAUCCAGGAGGUCUUCACUGAGAAACUGUACAUCAAGUGGCUCACAGAGCCAAGACCACACCCAGGCCUGUGGCCCCUGUGAUGUCCCCAGGCCCCAUCCCAUGCCAGGCCUGAGACUCCUGAGGUCAGAGACCACAGCAGGAUCCCAAGGGGUGCAGCCUGGAACUUGGGCAGCAGCUUGACUCUAGGCAGCAGCUCUGGGCCCAGCCCAGGACCCAGCCCUGGGUCUGGCCACAGCCCCACAGCCAGGGUCAGCCUGCACUGCUGCCUGGAGCCCAGCUCAACAGUACAGAUACCCCCAGAGCCCUGCACAACUGUCCCACUGCUAACCUGUGACCCCCUCCGCCCGCCCUCCAGGAGUCACCAACCCGAAGUUCCCUGGCUGCCUCUCCUUUGACCAGGGAACUUUAGGGUCGCCCAACUGUCCCCUCACUCACCUAUGACCCUUAACCAACCCUGCUUCCCCCAGGGCCCUUCCCUGCACUCCAACUCCAGCCUCUAGGACUCAGCCUCCCUGCUGGGGACCCAGAGCUCUGCGGAACAGUUUGAGGAAGCUCUCAGCCAAGAUUCCAGCCCUGCAGGGGCUGCUGCGGCGCACACACAGGGUUAUUCUGCUGGAGCCCCAGCCCUGUGAGCCCAUCCCCAGCCUGCUGACCCACAGGGAGGCUUCCCACACACUGGGAGGCUGCUGGCAGGGAAGGCCACGAGGGCAGGCUAAGCAGAGGACCCCGAGCUCAGCCUGUGCCCCAUCUGCCCUCCCAGGCCCGCUGGAGCACCAUGGCUACCAGGUGGCAGCUCCAGCCUUCUCUCCUGCAGGCACCCGGUACUGAGCUGACUAGAGGAGGUCUCUUCUCCAGCCUGCAGAAGAUGGACCUGCUGGAGGAGAUCAUAGCAGAGCUACAAAAAGGAUGUCAGCUUGGAGAAAAGCCCAGCCUGAGCCCCACUCCUGACCUAGACUCCCAGGGUGCCCAUGGUUCCCCUCUCUGCAGAUACCACCUCUCAGAGGCUCCCAGGAGUAACUCCUGCCUUGGUGCCUCCCCAAAAGGAAAUAGAAUGAUAAAGUGCCCCCUC
ensembl:lncRNA TEX14BP testis expressed 14B, pseudogene